UAUGUGGAAAAUCAUUUUCCCUUGGAAUUUGGAAAGCAUUGCCCUAUUAUCUUUUUCUUUUCUUGUUGUCCUGUGAUCUUUUAUCAUUCAGUGUUGUUAUGAACUCUGGUGCUACUCUGAUUCCUGUUCCUUUUUCUUUAUUUCAUUUUUCCAUAAUUCUUGUUAGUUGCUUGCCAGACUUCCUAGAUCACUCCUCAAAGUCCUCAUAUUUUCUCUCAUAUCUUUGUCUCUAUUGUUUUGUUCUAUUU
rnacentral:lncRNA from 1 species